AUGAAGCCAAGGUUGAGAAUCAUUGACUCAAGGGAAAAUCAACCCAUAAAUCUCAAGAGGGUUUCUCUUGAAAGAACCACUGAAAGAUGGACACCAGACAACAAAGCAAGGAAUCAAGAGAAAGAGCUUAGGAAUGAAGAAGUUGUGGCGAGAGAUCAGAGGGACUGCCCUUCUCUGCUUGGAUUCCAGAUGGCUACGCGGCAAUCAGGGAAAUUUUCCCCAGGCAGGGAGCCAAGUGCUUCAGGAGGCUUACCUCUUAUAUUUCCCUGCCUUCAGGGAUUGAUUGCACGCUUGUGUUGCCUAGUUGGCCUUGUGUUGCUUCUUCUCCAAUGUCUGAAGAUACUUGCCUUAGACAUUGUGCCUAAUUUUAUAACUAAGGCAAGAGAGCCAGUACCAGAUACUCCAUCACAGACAACAGCAGAAAUGCUGGGCCAUAUGUUCAAUAAUAGUAUUUCAUUAAUGUUAAAUUUCCUGAAAUUGAUCAUCACAUUGAUGAUGAAAGGAUUCUUUGAUUAUGGGUUAAGAACUCCUUGUUCUUAGAAUAUAUGUACUGCUGGGCAGCUGCAUGGCUGAGUUGGUUAAGCAGCUGCCUUCAGCUCAGGUCAUGAUCCCCGGGUCCUGGGAUAGAGUCCCCCCACAUCGGGCUCCCUGCUGACCAGGGAAUUUGCUCUUCCCUUUCCCUCUACCCCUCCCCCCUGCUCAUGCUCUCUCUUUGUCUCAAAUAAAUAAAUAAAAUCUUUUUUAAGAAAAAGAAUAUACAUGCUGAAAUACUUGAGAUAGAGGAUUAUGUUGCCUACAACUUACUUGGAAAUGCUUCAGUCAGAAGAUAGUAAUUUGAAUAGCAAUAAUAUAUAUAUUUGUAGAGGGAGCAUGGCAAAGAACUUGAUAAAGUAGAUGUGGAAAAUGUUAUCAGUGAUGAAUACUGGAAGAGUAUGUGGGGGUAAAUCACACUGCUUAUGUAUCUUUCUUAGAAGUUUGAAAUAUUUUCAAAAUAAAUAGUAAACAAAACAUCACUUAAAUGUGGACUGGACUUAGUGGUUCACAUCCAAAGUUAGAGCAUGGAAAGAAAAAUUAGUGACUUUACAGUGAAGAAGCCUGGCAAACACCACCUUAACCAAAUGAUCAAGGCUGAUAUCACCAGUGGUAAGUCGUGUGGAUAUCAUGUGCCCACUGGUAUGUGAUGAAAAGGUUUUCUCAAUCAAAGUUUAUAACCUGAUUUAAGAAUUAAUGGGUAUCCUAAAAUAUUCCUUUCCUUAAAUACCUGUUUAAAUUGGGUAAAUAUUAGCCUUUUCAUUUCAUGUCUACCUAGCUUAAGUAGAAUCCAUCUGUGGAGAAAUUAUGAUGUGUGUUCAUUUAUGAAUUUUAUUCUAGUUUUAUAGUCCAGAGAGAUUAAUGACAUUUAUAUACAACAGUGAUUUUUUUAAGUGUAGUUCUGUUUUAAUUCAAACGCCAAUAUUACUGUAUUAAUGUCAUUCAUAACAUUUGAAUGACAUUUAGGAUAUCUUUAUUUAAAAUAAUAUAUAAAAUAUUAUUGCAUUUAUAUACAUUUUAGGACAUACAAAUAUAUACUUCAUGUCAUUAAGAAAGGAAAAAGGAAGGAAUUUUUCAUUAAAAAUAUAUAUUUGGCUUCUCUGGAAUUGUUCCUUCCCAGUUAGAAGGCAGUAAUAGGAGUGUGAACUUUAGAGAUUGGCUACCUGGGUUCUUCUUUUGGAUUUAGUAGGAGAGCAUUCAUCAUAGGGUAGUGUGAAUAUUGACACAUAUGUAUAUGUUACAUGUGGGGUGAAUUGUACUCACAGAGUAGAGGUAAGGAGCUAUAUACAAGCCUGGCACACAACAGACUUUGGAAAAUAUUAGUUAUAUCGUUGUUUGUCCAUUAUUUUUAGAUCUUAUUUGCUCAAAUCAAAGAAUCACUGGACUGGUGGCCCUUUGGGUAAAGUGUCUUCCCUGCUCUAAUCAGCUGUGACUAUGGGAAAAGGUUACAUACCCAGCACAGCUGUCCUGUCAUCAAUUACUGGGAUCAGAAGAAUUUCCGUUAGAGGCCUUGGGCUUAGGAAGGAUGGUCAGUGAUACAUAUAACACCUUGAGAUACAUGUUACAUUGGGUUUCAAGCAAACUCUGAUUAGAGGAGAGGAUGGAUAAUCCUGAAUUGGGUGUGAAAUAAAGUUAUUUGUUCUCCUCUUGGGUAACUUGACUAAAUUGUCAUGAUUUUAAAUAUGUUGAAUGCUCCCUCAAAGAUAUUCAUGGCCUAAUCCCUGAAUCCUGUGAUUUAGCUUAUAUUGCAAAAGAAGCUUUGCAGGUGUGAUAUGGUGAAAUUAUCCUGGAUUAUCCAGGUAUGCCCAGUCUAAUCACAUACAAUAUGAAAAGUGGAGAAUCUUUCCUGGUUCUGUAAGAGAGAAGAGAAGAAAAAAAAAGAAAGCCAUGAAGUGGGAGAGGGGCUUAAUCUGUCGUCACUGGCUUUGAAGGUAGUCAUGCUAAAGGAUGUGGGAAGCCUCUA
rnacentral:lncRNA from 1 species